rnacentral:rRNA from 1 species
GACGGAGGACGCAAGCGUUAUCCGGAAUGAUUGGGCGUAAAGCGUCCGCAGGUGGCAGUUCAAGUCUGCUGUCAAAGACCGGGGCUUAACUUCGGAAAGGCAGUGGAAACUGAACAGCUAGAGUAUGGUAGGGGCAGAGGGAAUUCCUGGUGUAGCGGUGAAAUGCGUAGAGAUCAGGAAGAACAUCGGUGGCGAAGGCGCUCUGCUGGACCAUAACUGACACUCAGGGACGAAAGCUAGGGGAGCGAAUGGG